rnacentral:rRNA from 1 species
CUUGGUCAUUUAGAGGAAGUAAAAGUCGUAACAAGGUCUCCGUAGGUGAACCUGCGGAGGGAUCAUUACACAAUAAAAUAUGAAGGCUGUACGCGGCUGUGCUCUCGGGCCAGUUUUGCGGAGGCUGAAUUAUUUAUUACCCUUGUCUUUUGCGCACUUGUUGUUUCCUGGGCGGGUUCGCCCGCCACCAGGACCACAUCAUAAACCUUUUUUAUGAGUUGCAAUCAGCGUCAGUAUAACAAAUGUAAAUCAUUUACAACUUUCAACAACGGAUCUCUUGGUUCUGGCAUCGAUGAAGAACGCAGCGAAAUGCGAUACGUAGUGUGAAUUGCAGAAUUCAGUGAAUCAUCGAAUCUUUGAACGCACAUUGCGCCCUUUGGUAUUCCAAAGGGCAUGCCUGUUCGAGCGUCAUUUGUACCCUCAAGCUUUGCUUGGUGUUGGGCGUUUUUUGUCUUUGGUUGCCAAAGACUCGCCUUAAAAGGAUUGGUAGCCGGCCUACUGGUUUCCAGCGCAGCACAUUUUUGCUUGCAAUCAGCAAAAGAGGACGGCAAUCCAUCAAGACUCCUUCUCACGUUUAACCUCGGAUCAGGUAGGGAUACCCGCUGAACUUAAGCAUAUCAAUAAGCGGAGGA